UCACGGCUUUCGAUGCGUCUCGUGCUCUCGUUUGUCGCUCCGGGUCAGCCACUUGUCGUCGGUCCUUCGCUCACGCCGGUCAGACGCGCCUGCCGCUUAGUCGCCUCUACGCCUUCGCUGUUGCCAUAAUAUAUCUGUUUUAACCCGCCGCCAGUGUACUUCGUGCCGUCCGAGUUGUAGUACGUCGCGUCUGUCACGCGAAUCGAUUAUAUCGGAUUAUUUGGUAUAUCAUUUACCGAUUCGGUACACCGUUCGACAUUCCGGCAUCUCCUCGCUGUCUUUCAUUUCCGGAUCUUUGGGCACCAGUCACCAGUGCGUUACGAAUUCACGUCUAUCACGUCACCUGUCAUUAUUGCCAACUUUUAAUCCUCACCCGCGGCCAGGAUCCAGGCGUUGGCCGUUUUUCAUCAACCCGGCGUAUUUUCGGACACUGCGGUACAUACAUACAUGAUACAUAUAUGGCGCUGCAUAUUAUGUAUACGGUGACGACGGUCGUCAACGCACGGGCAUGGGUCGGCAGAUCAUACCAUUACAGUCACGCAAAUCCCGUGUGACGUGUCCAGGGGAUUUAAUGCGUUUACCGGUGGACUGUAAGGAAGCAGACUGCCGUGUACAGGAUUGGAAACUUUUCCGAGGCCGUGCGGAAAUCUAUGACAAAAUCGCUCUCUGACGAUAUGAAUGAACGUCGAGAAACGUCAAGGAUGAGGAGCUAGCUGGCUAUAAUAGUGCUCUCGCGCGGUGCGAACAACGGCGCGGACCCGGAUGUGAUCGUCGGCGGCAACAGUCAUAAUGUGGCACGCGACACGACGCUUGUUGCGCUGCGAACAACAAAUGGUCCGCGGUUGCACACGGAAUGUCGUGAUUUUAAGUUCCGACUUGUCUGGGCAAAAAAUUCAACAAUUACAUCCAUUGAUAGUUAUUUCACAAUAUAUCAGAAAAGCAAAGAGAUUUCUUAACAGCGGAAGAAAAAUGAACAGUAAUUUCUUUUGAUGAAACAUAUAUUUCACACAGAAUAUGUUAAUUUUAUAAUUUAUAAAUUUGAAAAAGUAUAUGGUCCACACAGAUCUGUUUAAACCAUUGUAGUUAGAGGGUUAUUGAGCAAUUGAAAACAACCGAUAUUUUAUAACUACGAUACUGCUAUCACAAAAAAAUUACUUUAUAACAUAAUAGAAGCAUUACAUAUACAUAGUUUUAAUGUAAUCGCUAUUGUGAGUGAUAUGGGUUCUUCAAAAGUUGGAUUGUGGAAAGAUUUGGGUGUUUCUAUAACACUUUCAUGGAUUUGUUAAGUCAAUUUGAACCUGAGGCCUUUUGCAUAGAUGACAAUGAUUCCUUCAAAGGCCUUGAGAAGGAAGGUUUGCAAUAUGUCGUAGGAUAUGUUGUUUCUAGAUUUGCAAAACAAUAUUCUCUAAUGGCAUCGGAUGAGCAAACCACCAAUGAUGAAAAUUGGAUUACAUAUCUGUCCAAACUCCAAAGAAGGGGGGGUAUCCAUCCAGGCAAUGAAUUCAAGUUGCAAACAUGAUGGAAAAGUUGUUCAUUGAUCUUCAUGGAAAUCACCUAUCAAAAGAAGAAGGUAUAAUGAAGAAAUUAGCAUAUUCUUUAUUUAUUUAAUGGAAAAAAUUAAACUUACAACACUAGAUAUCCCAGUUGAAGUAGUUUGGUGUCUUGUCAGUACCAGAACAUUUAUUCGAUUAAAUAACCUUAAUUGAAUAAUAUUAAAUACUAAUAUUAGGAAGAAUAAAAUUAAGCUUAAAAAAAAUACUGAAUAAAAUAUAAUAUAUUUAAAUAAUUAGUAAUAUUAUUAAUAUUAUAUUCUGUUCUAUUAAAUGCAUAUCUUGCAUAUCACGUAUUGUAAUAUAUAUAUGUUUUUUCUCUGUUCUAAUUGUAUACAUUUUUCUUUUUAGUUUGUAUUUUAAAAUCAGAUAUAAUUCGGUAAGCUUAGAGAAGAUAGAUAAAUUAUGUAUGUAUAAACCUAAUAUAUAUGAACAAAAAAAUAUAAAUAAUAAUGAUAAUAAUAUAA